CCUGUAGCUCAGUUGGUAGAGCAUGAGACUCUUAAUCUCAGGGUCAUUGGUUCAUACCCACAUUGGG
rnacentral:tRNA from 1 species